AGUAGUAGUAGUAGUAGUAGUAGUAGUAGUUCCAGAGAGAAGGAAAGGGUUGGUGGUUAUAGUAGUAGUAGUAGUAGUAGUAGUAGUAGUAGUAGUAGUAGCAGUAGUAGCAGUAGUAGCAAGAACAGCAGAAUCAAAAAACAAUAUAGCCAUUCAAAGAAGUAAAUAAUGCUUUUUUUUCUUUUUUUUUCUUUACAAUUGUGUUAGAUAAUUAUAACCCCACGAUCACCCUUGUAUGCCCAUUUCGAGAGACUAAUCGGCUAUGUAUGUUAUGAGGAAAAAUACUCAACUCUUUUUUUUCACAGCACUUUCUUUUAUAUACAGUAAAAAAAUAAAAAUAAAUCCUGGAAAUAAACAUGAAUUGAUAUAGAUGGCGCUGCGGGCUGUGUUGAUAGGGAUGGUGGUGGUGACGAAAGUGUUGCAAUAAUAUCAAUGGAAAUGGUGAUGGUGGUGGUGAUGGUGGGCGUGGUGGUGGUGGUGGUGGGCGUGGUGGUGGUGGUGGUGCAGAGAACGUUCAUGGCAACAAUGAUACUCCACACAAUAAAAGCACAAAAAAAGGAAGAAAAAAAAGAGAAACGGUUUGUGCGUAGACAUUUAAGACACACACACACACACACACACACACACACACACACACACACACACACACACACACACCACCCCACCCCACCCCCUCCCGUAUACACACAUACAUAACCUCCCCCCACACACAUACAUACAUACACCUGCCGCCCCCCCCCCUCCCAUACACAUACGCACACACACACAUACACACAUUCCUCCACACCUGCCGGGCCACACACAGGAUUAAUUAGCGGCAGGUAAUUGCUCGUAAUAACUCCAUCGGUCGCGAGAGGGCGGAGGAAGGGGAGGAAGGGGCGUGAUGAGUAAUGGAUGGGGCGUUACGAGGGUGGAGGAGGGAAGAAGAAGAAGAAGGGGUGGAUGAGUGGGGGUGAGGUGGAAUAAGAUACGGUAAGUGGAUGAAUGGAUAGGAUGGACUGGGUGGAUUGAACCUAUGAAGAAAAAGAAAAAGGAAAAGAAGAAAACCAAGAAGAAUCAAGAAAGUGGUAGGAGUGUAGAAUUAAAGUAGAAAGGGAGACGAACUGAAGGGCUUAAAAUAUAGAAAGGAAGAAGAAGAAAAAGAAGAAGAAAAAGAAGAAAAAGAAGAAUUAAGGUAAUGGGAGAAUAGAAAUAGAAGAGAAGGGGAACGAAUAGAAGGGCUUUUAAACUAUACAAGAAGAGAAAGAAGAAGAAGAAAAAAGAAGAGGAAGUAAGGAAGUGUUGAAGCAUAGAAUUAAAGGAGAAAGGGAGACGAAUUGAUGGGCUUUAACUAUGAGAGAAGGGAGGCGAUUGGGAAUAAUUUGUUAACGGGGCUGAAAAUAUAUUCGUUGGUGGAGAAGGGAAGAAGGAGGAGGAGGAGGAGGAGGAGUCAAGAAGGGCUGUAGGAGUGUGAAGGGAGAGGAGGAGAAGGGGGAAGAAAGAAAAGAGGAAAAAGGUAUUAAGAAGUGGUAUAGAAUUCUGAAGGGAAAAGAGAAGAAAGGGAAGGAAAGAGAAGAGGAAAGGGGAGUCAAGAGGAACCAUAGGAGUCUUCAGGGAGAGAAGGAGAAAGGGGAAGAAAGAAAAGAAUUAAAAAAAUAAAAAAGGGCUGUGAGAAUAUGAAGGAGGAGGAGGAGAAAGGGGAAGAAAGAGAAGAGGAGAGAGGUAUAACGAAAAGGGUAUAUGGGAGUCUGAAGAGAGAGAAGGAGGAGGAGGAGGAGGAAGGGGAAGAAAGAGAAGAGGAAAGAGGUGUUACGAAAGGAUAUGGGAGUCUGAAGAGAGAGAAGGAGGAGGAGGAGGAGGAGCAAGGGAAGAAAGUGAUACCUCAGGCGUGGGAGAAUGGAGUUGAUGGGGAAUAAAUUAGCAAUGGGGCGGAGUAUAGAGAGGUGGGGGCGUCUUAAAAGGGGUGGAGAUGGGAGCAUAAUGAAGGAGUUAAGGGUCGUGGGAAUAUGAGAGUAGAGAAGGGAGCAGAAGGGAGGUGAGAUAGAAAGAGCUAUAAGGGAGAAGGGAGGUGAUGGGAGAGAAAUUCUGAUGUAGAGAAGAAUAUAUUAGGGCGUGUGAAGACGGUAGAGAGGGUAGAUUAAGACGAUGGGAAGCUGAAAGGGUAGAAGAAAGGGGAAAGAAGGGAGUUGGGGUAGAAAUAGCUAUAAAGGAGAAGGGAGAUGAUGGGAGAGAAAUUUUAACGUGAAGGAGAAUAUAUUAGGUAGUUUAGAAGAGGUAGAGCAGGUAGAUUAAGACGAUGGGAAGCUGAAAGGGUAGAAGAAAGGGGAAAGAAGGGAGGUGGGGUAAGAAUAGGUAUGAGGGAGAAGGGAGAUGAUGGGAGAGAAAGUUUAACGUGAAGGAGAAUAUAUUAGGUAGUUUAGAAGAGGUAGAGCAGGUAGAUUAAGACGAUGGGAAGCUGAAAGGGUAGAAGAAAGGGGAAAGAAGGGAGGUGGGGUAAGAAUAGCUAUAAAGGAGAAGGGAGAAGAUGGGAGAGAAAGUUUAACGUGGGGGAGAAUAUAUUAGGGAGUUUAGAAGAGGUAGAGAAGGUAGAUUAAGACGAUGGGAAGCUGAAAGGGUAGAAGAAAGGGGAAAGAAGGGAGGUGGGGUAAGAAUAGGUAUGAGGGAGAAAGGAGAUGAUGGGAGAGAAAUUUUAACGUGAAGGAGAAUAUAUUAGGUAGUUUAGAAGAGGUAGAGCAGGUAGAUUAAGACGAUGGGAAGCUGAAAGGGUAGAAGAAAGGGGAAAGAAGGGAGGUGGGGUAAGAAUAGCUAUAAAGGAGAAGGGAGAAGAUGGGAGAGAAAGUUUAACGUGAAGGAGAAUAUAUUAGGUAGUUUAGAAGAGGUAGAGCAGGUAGAUUAAGACGAUGAGAAGCUGAAAGGAAAGGGGAAAGAAGGGAGGUGGGGUAGAAAUAGCUAUAAAGGAGAAGGGAGAUGAUGGGAGAGAAAGUUUAACGUGGGGGAGAAUAUAUUAGGGAGGGU